CCUACGGGAGGCAGCAGUGGGGAAUCUUGCGCAAUGGGCGAAAGCCUGACGCAGCAACGCCGCGUGCGGGAAGAAGGCCUUCGGGUUGUAAACCGCUUUCAGCAGGAACGAAAAUGACGGUACCUGCAGAAGAAGGUGCGGCCAACUAUGUGCCAGCAGCCGCGGUGAUGCAUAGGCACCAAGCGUUGUCCGGAUUUAUUGGGCGUAAAGAGCACGUAGGCGGUUCAGUCAGUCGGGUGUGAAAACUCUGGGCUUAACCCCAGAGCCUGCACCCGAUACUGCUGUGACUAGAGUUCGGUAGGGGAGCGGGGAAUUCCUGGUGUAGCGGUGAAAUGCGCAGAUAUCAGGAGGAACACCGAUGGCGAAGGCACCGCUCUGGGCCGAAACUGACGCUGAGGAGCGAAAGCAUGGGUAGCAAACAGGAUUAGAUACCCUGGUAGUCCAUGCCGUAAACGUUGGGCACUAGGUGUGGGUUCCAAUCAACGGAAUCCGCGCCGUCGCUAACGCAUUAAGUGCCCCGCCUGGGGAGGUACGGUCGCGAGACUAAACUAACAAGAGUAGUAGACGCGNGAGACGCGACGACGACGACGACGGAGGAGGAGG
rnacentral:rRNA from 1 species